rnacentral:rRNA from 1 species
ACGGAAGGCAGCAGUGGGGAAUUUUGCGCAAUGGGGGGAACCCUGACGCAGCAACGCCGCGUGCGGGAUGGAGGCCUUCGGGUUGUAAACCGCUUUCAGCAGGGAAGACAACGACGGUACCUGCAGAAGAAGCUCCGGCUAACUACGUGCCAGCAGCCGCGGUAAUACGUAGGGGGCGAGCGUUAUCCGGAUUCAUUGGGCGUAAAGCGCGCGUAGGCGGCUGCCUAAGCGGAGUUUCUAACCUUGGGGCUCAACCUCAAGCCGGACUCCGAACUGGGCGGCUCGAGUGCGGUAGGGGCAGGCGGAAUUCCAAGUGUAGCGGUGAAAUGCGCAGAUAUUUGGAGGAACACCGAUGGCGAAGGCAGCCUGCUGGGCCGUCACUGACGCUGAGGCGCGAAAGCUGGGGGAGCGAACAGGAUUAGAUACCCUGGUA